rnacentral:misc_RNA from 1 species
GAUGAAGAACGUAGCGAAAUGCGAUAAGUAAUGCGAAUUGCAGAAUUCAGUGAGUCAUCGAAUCUUUGAACGCACAUUGCGCCCCUUGGUACUCCAUGGGGCAUGCCUGUUCGAGCGUCAUUUACACCCUCAAGCUCAGCUUGGUGUUGGGCGUCUGUCCCGCUUCGUGCGCGGACUCGCCUCAAAUGCAUUGGCAGCGGUCUUGCCAGCUUCUCGCGCAGCACAUUGCGCUUCUAGAGGCUUUGGCGGAUCGGCGUCCAUCAAGUACACCCACAGUUUGACCUCGGAUCAGGUAGGGAUACCCGCUGAACUUAAGCAUAUCAAUAAGCGGAGGA